rnacentral:misc_RNA from 1 species
UCUGCGCCCCAACUUGAACGGAGCUCUUUUUGCCAACCUAAAUAUUCCAAUUAUUUACGAAUUUUUGAAGGCAAAAAAGCGGGAGUGGAAGGUGGUCCCGAUA